GUCUCUGUGGCACAAUAAGUUAGCGCGUUUGGCUGUUAACUGAAAGGUUGGUGGUUCAAGCCCACCUAGGGACG
rfam:Danio rerio unplaced genomic contig CTG2934, GRCz11 reference primary assembly.